rnacentral:lncRNA from 1 species
AAAAAGUCACCUGCACAUUAAAUGGAUACAUGCUCAAAAAUUCUCCCUGACAAGAAAAAUCUAAACACUGAUAAUGACCUCACACACAGGCUUUGGUCACACUCAGAGUACUGCUGGACACAACCACAUACGCUCAAACAAGUUGCCCACAUACUGGCUCUGCACCAUGUCAGAUCCAAAUCUAGAUAUUUGUACUUCUGGGAGAUUGAAGGGUUCCACCUCUGCUUUUAUUCCUCAAGUGGGUGAUGCAAAAGCACUGAUUCCUCCCCCACUACCUCUCAAACGCCACCAGAGGUCACCUGAAUUUGAGACAACUUUAAGCCAGGGCCCACAACUGAAAGCCUUUAAUAUAGAGAGCUCACUGGCAUGUCAGACUUCUCUUGGGGAAGUCCCAGGGGAAGUACAUGACAUUCACAGUAGCCGCAUAUUUGGAAUUUUACCAAAAGUGGAACAAAAAUGCCACAAAAAUGAACAAACACAGUUUGCUCCAAGACCUCCUCUUACACCACCUAUAAAACCUCCACGGCCUAAUAAGCCAAAAAAGGCUGAGCUAGAGGAAGAAAAGACAGGAGACAAGAAGAACAGGCAUGAGCAAGAGCUGAUGGAAAGAAAUGAGAAUACAGAAGAGAAUGAAGAAACAUCUAAAAUAGAAAGUCAUCUGCACGUAGGUAAACCUCCACGGCAGAUCUUAGUAAUAUUUACAGAAUAUCUACGGGAGAAAGGUGGAGAGGACAGGGGAAAGGAAGAUAAAGAACCUAAUAAUAUUGAGCUGACCACUACCUUGACAGAAAAUUCAUUCCUGCUAGCAAUGAAAGGCUCAGACCUUACCUCAGAUGAAGAACCUGACAUGGCAGCAACAAACAGAAAGUCUAUAGUUUCAGUGAAACAAGAACCAACAAUUCCACCACAGCCUCCUCCAAAGACACAUCAGAAGUGUCCCCCAAAACCACCAAUCAAACCUCUACAGCUCUUCAGCGCCAUGAGGUCCAGGAUAGAAGAGGAAACAGAGAGUAGGAAGCAGGUGGAUGAAUGGUUAAGAGACAAUGGCUUGGUGGACAAAGAAAGGAAUGAAGAGGAAGACGAAGGAAAGGAUGGAGGAAAGGUAAAUGUAGAUACAGAGUCAAUGACACCAACCAUGACAGAAAUGCCUUCCCGACCAAAAGAAAUAGUAAUGAAGUCCAUCCCCAAGUCUUCAGUGUAUCAGGAGGUGGAACUGCCAAGAGCAGGGCAAAGAUUUUGUCUCAUGCCCCCUUGUAGAAACAAACCGUCAGAAAUCACAACUGAGAACAAAACUCUUCAUCAGUCUCAGCUCCCAGGGAAACAACACCUGAACCAUGCAGAUGGACAAGUCCAUCCUGGUCCUCUUCCACAAAAGAUUCCUAUUCCUGUCCCAUGGGUACAAGACUCUGAAGUAAUUUCUAAGUUGCCAUCUGGACAUCAGGAAGGGACAGAGGUGGUGGGGUCGAAGUUGGAUCCACAUCAGCUGGAUGCACAGGAAAUUGCUGAGAUGCUUUUGGAUGGAGAACUAAAGCAAACAAACCAGAAGACCAAUGCAAGAGGAAAGGUGAAACAGCUUGCCAAGAAGGUGAUCGGUAGAUUGAAAGAGGGACGAGAGGACAAAAGAAGAAGCAAAGCGCUAGAGAUGGAAAUAGAUGAUACUGAACUGACACAGGAUGAAAAGUGGCAUGGGGAAGAAGGAGGAAUGAAGGAUGAGGAGAAAGAGGAAGGGAAUGAUGCAGUUACUGUGGACCAAUCAGCAGUGACAGAGACACAGAGCUAUGCUGACCGGAUGAAAGGGAGGAUUGCAAGAAGAAAUGCAACAUCUGAAAGUCCUUUCAGCUCCUUUAAAGUCUCCAGUCCAGUGAAGCUAGUGGAAGAGCUCCUGUCGGGUGAUGAGUGGUCACAGUUCCUGCACAGAGACCAGAGCCCCAUGAAUGACCCCCCUCCAUGCCAGACACACUUGGAGGACACGGGACAGCUCAGUGCGAACUUCCAGUUAAACUCCAGUGGUGAACAGGGCCUCACUCUGGAUGUGUUUGAAGGCGACCAUGCUGUCCCAGAAGAUCCCGUCUAUGAGGAUAUCGACCUGCCAACUAUUAACAAAGAAGAGCAGCAAACACGUGAGCAACAGGAGAACAGAGCACGCAGCACUGCUAUUCCAAGUAUACUGCUGGAGAGGGAAACAAAUCCGAUGAUCGCAGUGUGUUUUGAGCACUUCAGUUCAGAAGUACAUCAUCAAGCUGAGCAAGAAGAGGAAACACAGACCACCACAGAAAUGGCAUCGCCAUAA